rnacentral:rRNA from 1 species
AAUGAACGCUGGCGGCAUGCCUAACACAUGCAAGUCGAACGAGACCACCGGAAGUAGUGGCGCAUGGGUGUGUAACGCGUCGGAACCUUCCCUUAUGUUUGGAAUAACUCUCCGACAGGGGUGCUAACACCGGAUAAUGUCUUCGAACAAAAGAUUUAUCGCCCUGGGAUGGGCCCGCGUUGGAUUAGCUGGUUGCGAGGGUAAAAGCCUACUAAGGCGUCGAUCCAUAGCUGGUCUGAGAGACUGGUCAGCCACACUGAGACUAGGACACGGCCCAGAAUCUUACGGGAUGCGGCAGUGGCGGAUAUUGGAAAAUGGCGUGAGGCCUGAACGAGCAAUGCUGCGUGAGUGAUGAAGGCCUUAAAGUUGUAAAGCUCUUUUACCCGGGAUGAUAAUGACAGUACCGGAAGAAUAAGCUCCGGCUAACUCCGUG